rnacentral:rRNA from 1 species
AGUGAACGCUGGCGGCAGGCCUAACACAUGCAAGUCGAGCGGCAGAACAGAGCUUGCUCGUGGAUACAGCUGCGGACGGGCGAGUAGUGGCGAAGAAUCUCCCUGUCAGCUUUUUAUAGCGGGCGGAAGCGGGCGCUCAUACCGCAUUCGUCCUUACGACGUACGGGGGGGAGCUUCGGAUCUUACGCCAUCACAUGAUCCUAUGUCGGAUUAUCUAGUUGGUGGGGUAAAGGCCUACCAAGGCGACGAUCCGUAGCUGGUCUGAGAGGAUGAUCAGCCACACUGGAACUGAGGCACGGUCCAGACUCCUACGGGAGGCAGCAGUGGGGAAUAUUGGACAAUGGGCGCAAGCCUGAUCCAGCCAUGCCGCGUGUGUGAAGAAGGUCUUCGGAUUGUAAAGCCCUUUUGUUGGGAAAGAAGAGCAGUAAGUUAAUACCUCGCUGUUUUGACGUUACCCACAGAAUAAGCACCGGCUAACUUCGUG